AUAAUAAAGGACAUUUUUAUUUUAUUUUUUAGUAUAAUUUUCUUGCCACAUUAAAUUAUGUCACUUACCUAUCAUUUAUAAAAGGAAAUAGUCAACACUGACUAUUUUAUAAAAUUGGUAUUUUACAUUUAAGAACUUACAUAGAUUAUUUUUUUUGGACUGUUUUCACUUCUCUAUAAAUACACAAUUGUUGUAAAGAUGAUUUACACAGACAUAAAUUAUUACAUAAUUAUCAAACUAAUAUCCAAAAAAAGAUGAAUAUGCUUACCUUCAAAGUUAUCUUGAUAUUCAACUUCUUGUUCAUUUCGCAGUGUUAUGCAGCUAUACCAUGCCAGACAGUAGCUGAUUGCAAUAUUAAUUGUGGCAGCAAAGGAACUCCAAUUUGUAAAAACAACACUUGCUUCUGCAACCGUUGUGAUUUAUACCCUCCAGAUGAUCUUAUAGUUGAUGAUGAAUCUAGUUUUAUAAGUAAAAAUAAUUGAUUAUUAUUAUUUAUUCCGAUUACAUAUGAUAACAUCGGUGAUGAUCCUUGAAAAAAUAAUAUAAUUAUAUUGGAAAAAAGGAUUUCAUUUU